rnacentral:rRNA from 1 species
GACGAACGCUGGCGGCGUGCCUAACACAUGCAAGUCGAACGGAACUGUUUUGAAAGAUUUUUUCGGAAUGAAUUUGAUUUAGUUUAGUGGCGGACGGGUGAGUAACGCGUGAGUAACCUGCCUUCAAGAGGGGGAUAACAUUUUGAAAAGAAUGCUAAUACCGCAUGACAUAUCGGAACCACAUGGUUUUGAUAUCAAAGAUUUUAUCGCUUGGAGAUGGACUCGCGUCCGAUUAGUUAGUUGGUGAGGUAACGGCUCACCAAGACCGCGAUCGGUAGCCGGACUGAGAGGUUGAACGGCCACAUUGGGACUGAGACACGGCCCAGACUCCUACGGGAGGCAGCAGUGGGGGAUAUUGCGCAAUGGGGGCAACCCUGACGCAGCAACGCCGCGUGAAGGAUGAAGGUUUUCGGAUUGUAAACUUCUUUUAUUAAGGACGAAAAAUGACGG